rnacentral:rRNA from 1 species
AACGAACGCUGGCGGCAGGCUUAACACAUGCAAGUCGAGCGCCUCGCAAGAGGAGCGGCAGACGGGUGAGUAACACGUGGGAAUCUACCCAUCCCUGCGGAACAACUCCGGGAAACUGGAGCUAAUACCGCAUACGCCCUUAGGGGGAAAGAUUUAUCGGGGAUGGAUGAGCCCGCGUUGGAUUAGCUAGUUGGUGGGGU